UAUAAACAUAUGUGUAUAUUAUAUAUGUGUGUCUGUAUGUAUGUACAGUAUGCCUAUAUAUUGUCUUUCUGCAUAUAAGUAUGUGAAUACAUACUUAUGUAGGUAUGUGUAUGUAUAUAAGCAUGCAUGUGCACUUGUGAAAUUGAUGAAACAGGUGCUCAGGCUCAGCCAGUGUGUGUGUGUGUGUGUGUGUGUGUGCGUGUGCACACGCGAGUGUGCUUGACUUUCUUUUUUUUUUUACUUUCUCUGUGAAAUUGCCAAAAGUCAUCAGCUUUUGUCCCCAGAACAGUGAGUUAGAUUCUACCUGAGUGAGAUCAUACUUAUCUUUCUGAUUUAUUCCCCUUAGCAUAAAUCCUCUGGAUCUAUCAUAUUGUGACAAAUGACAGUAUUUCCUACUUCUAAAAUUCUGCAUCAAAGAAGGAACCAAAGGCAUCAUGAACUCCAGACAAGCGCUCCCAUUGGCUCCCAGCCCUGAAUAUUUUCUUAUUCAAAGAGAAUAAGACAACAAAACUAAGGCAACGUUGGCCUCAGAGCUUUUUAAUUUCACUUACUGAACUCUGAUUAUAUCCUGAAAUUGAAGAAAAACAGAGUGGGCAAUAUCUGUGGCUCUCAGGGCCACCCCCACUAGCCCUGGUGUUCUCAUCUGUCCUGGAGAUGCUAAGAGAGGGAACUUAGCAUCUUCAAACUCACUAUUCCAAAUUCAAAUCAAUAUUCUUUGAAGAAGAAAACAUCAACCAGCAGGAGAUGAUCGCUACACUGUGGCAAAGGCUAUCUGCUCACUUGGCUUGUUGGGGGAGCCACUUAAAGAAUCCUCAGCAUCAGAAGGGCAUUUACACCAGAAAAACAAGAUGCAUCCUUUGGAAAAAGCAGGAGUCCACUGCUGCUGUCACAGCUCCCCAAGCACUCUUCAAGAAGCACUUUGUUCAUGCUUAGGGACACUCAGAUGUCUCAUGGUACCCAUGGGCUCUAAACUUGAUGAAACUAUGAGGAUCCUGAGGCCAUUGUAAAGUCACCCAUAAGCCCUGGAUGAGAAAUGCAUGAUAAGGGGGCUGGCGAGAUGGCUCAGCGGUUAAGAGCACUGACUGCUCUUCCGAAGGUCCCGAGUUCA